CAAUAGCGUAUAUUAAAGUUGUUGCGGUUAAAAAGCUCGUAGUUGGAUUUCUGCUGAGAACGACCGGUCCGCCCUUUGGGUGUGUAUCUGGCUCUUUCUUGGCAUCUUCUUGGUGAACGUUGCUGCACUUGACUGUGUGGAGCGCUACCCAGGACUUUUACUUUGAGGAAAUUAGAGUGUUUCAAGCAGGCAUACGCCUUGAAUACAUUAGCAUGGAAUAAUAAGAUAGGACCUCAGUUCUAUUUUGUUGGUUUCUAGAGCUGAGGUAAUGAUUAAUAGGGAUAGUUGGGGGCAUUCGUAUUUAACUGUCAGAGGUGAAAUUCUUGGAUCGGCUAAAGACGGACAACUGCGAAAGCGUUUGCCCAGGAUGUUUUCACUG
rnacentral:rRNA from 1 species